AGAAGGAGAAGAAGGAGAAGAAGAAGAAGAAGAGCCUUGCAAAUGCAUCUCCAGGCAACUCCCAGGGCUGCAGGGCUUCCACCUGUACCUCAGAACAGACAGGCCGAGUACAGCUGAGACCCGAGUGAGGCGUUAGCUGGCAGAAAAACCUGCAUCUCUCUGGCAACUCGACUCUCACCAGUACUUUCCUGAGAGCAAGGCAUUUGCCCGCAGCACAUUCUUCCAGGCCGAGUGCUGGCGCUCUAUCAGGCCACAUGCUGCAAUUACUCCAGCAAGUUAGUGCAGCUCCUUCAUUUCAGCACUGGUCUCCAGCUGCCCACGCCUUCCAGAGGAUUCACUGAGGAGGAGACACUGAUGCCCACGUGAUGUCUGGAACCUUCCUCAGGGCUCCUUGAGGGCAGACACAGAGUGGCCCAACCCAGCCAAAAGGGAGAACAAAGGUGCUGAGCUGCAUGGCUGCCCAGAGAGAGAAGCUGGACCCACCCCCAGCUGCCCACAUUCUAUCCUGGCCUCCCUACCCAUCUCUUCCUGGUUCCCAAACAUGCAGGACGCACCACACAUUCUGCAUCUGACUUCUAAACAAAACGGAAACAAAGGCACUUCCUUAGGAAGGCUCAACGCCCGAUGUUUGUUCUUCUUAUUGGAACCCUGGUGAGCCAUGGGGCACUCGCUGUUUGUGGGCUUAUUAAAAAGAAAUGCAUGGAAGGAAUAAUUGCCUGUUCUGUGGUGAGAAAUUACCGUCUCUGUUUUAUUUAUUGCUGUAUAGGAAACAAACAUAGCAUGUAAUUUAGUGAUUAGAACUUUGCAACUUUCGUUUCGUAUAAUUGCAUGCUUUUAUUCAGUAAAGCUAUUACUUUGAUUUUAAAAAAAUCCUUUCUGACCCCUUUCAGGGUCCUCAGAAGCAGAAGGGUCUCACGUGGAGAUUUUCAGCAAGCCUGAGAGUGAUGACCCUGUCUUUUCACCAGGAAUUGUGGGUGGGAGCUGGCAAGGUACUGGUGGAGGAGGGAUGCUGGAUUUGGCCAGCAAUGGUUAACAAGCAGGGAGGGAAGUGGAGUAGCUUCUGCACAUCAUCCGAAUCCUCAAGGGACAGGAGCUUAUAAAGUGCUAAUGUGGCCACGAAGGGGCUGAUGAACAGAGGCUUGUCCUAGGCUGGCCCUGGGUCAUCAGCUGCCCUUGGCCUGGAGUGUGGACAGUGACCAGCAUCCAUCUUUUACAGUGCUAGCCUGGGCCGUCCCAUGUGUGGCCCAUGACUCCUGUUGCUGCUCCAGGCCCUAGAGUUACUGCCUUACCCCCAUAUCCUGAGUCUGAUGUUCCAUGCAGCCCAGCCCAUCCUCCCCAAACAGGGUGCAACUCUGUGGCGUCCCGUCGCUCAACAGAAGCAUGGCCUCAUUUCCCAUGGUCCUUUAUCACCAAAGCUGGGACAGGCUGUAUUGCAAACAGGGAGAGGUCCUGGUCACUGAAACCUGCUCUAAGGUCACUAUAAGUGGACAGGGACUCUAAACACCUAGCCUCUGGGUGUUCAUAUUCUGUUUUGUGAAUUUGUGUAUUCAAUAUUUAUCCAAAUUCCUGAAAUUUCCCAAAUAUGAAAAUAUAUACCUCAAGACAGAAGAUUAUUGAAGUCCAAUGAACUUUGUCCCCCUGUGCUCUGUUGGGGUCCCCUUUCCUCUAACACCUGCCCCUGGAGGGCAUGAAAGCUAUAGCUAAAGAUGUCACCAUGUCUUUCUGAUCAUCCAGCCUUUCUGUCCUGUCUACGUGACAAUUCACCUCCAAUACGGUCGUUGCAGCUAAAGACUAAACAUCCUUCAAGUCCUACGUUGAGACACCACUGCUCUGACCGCCCACCUGACCUUUCCUGGCCCCAGGAAACAACCUGUGAAUGAGGAGAUAGAUGGAAGAUCCAUGAGCAGGCCACCAGUUCACUAGUCACAGUCCCAUCUAGGGCUCAUGGGACUAAACAGUCAGGGUUCCUUUGUUGUCAAAUGCUGCAUGGAGGUUAGAUGGAUGCUGAGCUGGCCAAUAGGACUUUCUUUUCCCUGCAGACUCAGUCCCAUCUGGGCUGAGUGGAGCCAAUUAACAUCCUGAUAGGGCUCCAAAGCUGCUGAGUUGCUGGGUUCUGUCCUUUACAGGAAUGGAGAAAGCCUGACCCAGGCAUGCAGCUUUCUAGGCCACUGCCUGUGACCUGAGACCCCGAUCCAGAACCUGGGAGGAGUUCCUAUGAGACUGACUUUUGCACCCCACGAGUGACACCACAGCCUGACUCUGAGUCUUUUCAUUUGCCCUCUGUUCUUCUCAACUCUGAGAUUCUCAACCAAGGUUCAUUUGGCUUGCGUUCUGCCUGAGUUAUGUUCUAAACACAUUCUAAGGAAGAGCCGCGUUUAUAGGAACUUGCUGUUCCUUCAUCCAAUAGAUGUUUCUUGGUUUAGGGUGAAAAUUGAAUCAGGAUUCCAAAGCGACUGCACAUGGCCAAGUCCUCUUGUGUUGGGCUGACGGUACCAUGUGCUUCUGGCAGUGCUGGCUUCACUCCUCAUGUUGGCCCAGGUACAGACAUUGUGUAGAGUAUUUCUCUACAGGGUUCUACUUUCCUACUGCCAGUGUCAUUUCAGACACUUCCUUUUCUAGAAAACACUUUGGUCCCAGUACCACAUGGCAUCAGAUGUCUUAGCCCAGGCAAGGAUGACAGAGUGGGCAGCUAAGCACAGUGUGUACACAGGUAGAUCUGUCCUGGUUAAUUUUACGUCAACUUGAUUGUCAACUAGAGUCAUUUGGGAAGAGGAACUCUCCAUGGAGAAAAUGCUUCCAUAAGAUUGUCUAAUAGACAAGUCUGUUGAUAUUUUUCAUAAUGAUUGAUGAGGAAACUCCAACCCAUUCUGGGCAGUGCCACCCCUGGGAAGGUGGUCCUGGAUUGUGUAAGAAAGCAGGAUGAAUGGGAUAUGAGAAGCAAGCCAAGAAGUGUUCCUCCAGGGCUUCUGCUUUAGUUCCUGAUUCUAGGUUCCUGCACUGGGUUCCUGCCUUACAUCCCUCAAGGCUGAACUGUGAUAUGGGAUAUAAACUGAAAUAAACCUUCUCCUCCUCAAGUUGCUUUUGGUCAUGCUGAUUUAUUAACAACAGAAACUGUCUUAACUAUUUCUUCUUUUGCCACUACCAUGGCCAAAAAUCCGACCAAAGCAACUUAAAGAAGAAAUGACCAUCAUGUGGAGGAGCAUGGCAGUAGACAGGCAGGCAUGGUGUUGGAACAGUGGCUGAGGGCUGACAUUGGAUCCACAACCAGGAGGCAGACAAAGAGCUAACUGGCAAUGGUGUAGGUGUUUGGAACCUCAAAGCCCCACCCAGCGACACACCUCCUCCAACAAGGUUCCACAUUCUAACCCUCCCCAAGCAGUUUCACCAACUGAGGACCGAGUAUUCAAAAAGAUUAUUUUAUGGGGCCAUUCACAUUCAAAACACCACAAAAAAAAAACACCCUGACACAUGCACAAACAACACACUUACAUGUACAUAGCACAGAUGUGUAUACCACACACACACACAGGCAUGCAAGUGACUCGCUCACUGAUACACAGACAUAGAAGCAAUGUCCCACACCCCCAUGAUGCAAUAUGCACACCAGGCAGCCUUACACACAGGUUUAUACACAACUCCCACAAACAACUGUGUCUUCCCCCAAUCCCUUUUCAGUGCUCAUCUACCACUAAUCUGUUCUCCAUUUUCCCUACCUUUCUACUUUAAGAAUGACAGGAACAUGGAAUUAUAGCGUGUACAACCUCUUAGAGUUGUCCGUCCUCAGUCAUCAUAAGUUUGGAGGUACAUUAAACUUCCCUGUCAAUUACUUUUCAUUCUUCAUUCAUUCAUUCAUU
rnacentral:sRNA from 1 species